ACAGCCGCGCUCCGGCCAGCAGAAGGCGGCCACCUCCUACGCGCACGGCCGUUACCCAGAACGCAUGCGCGCCACCCUGCGCAGUCCCCGCCACGUCAUCUGCAAGUACCAGGACUGCCCGGUGCUGCGCAGGACGCCACGCCCAACCAGCGCCAUCCUGUGCCGUCGGAAGCUUGGGACUGGGACGGUGAAGAGGAAGCGCACCCGCCCCACCAAGAGUCCCCACUUUCCCGUGGCUCUUGAUGCGUGUCUGUCUCUGUCCUUUUUCAACAACAGGGUCUUACUAUGUAGCCCAGGCUGGCCUUGAAUUCUCAGUGAUCCUCCUGCCUCAGCCUCCCAGGUGCUACAGGUAUGCACCACCAUGCCUGGCCAGUAAUUUGUUCUUUUUUAUGCUGAGAAGCAUUCCAAUUGGAAUAUACAGGACUCAUGGGCUCUUUGAGAACUGACCCUGCCCCAUGUCCUUUUCUUCAAUGUGAUUCUCAGAAGAUAAAGUUGAAUUACACAACUCUGCAGAUGUUCAACUACUAUGAGAUAAAGUACUUCUUAAACUGUAUGCAUAAAUAAAGCAAUACUAAGAUUAGUACUCAUUCAAAUAAACUUGUACAAAUUAAGACAAAUUUGAAAAA